UACGGGGGGGGCAAGCGUUGUUCGGAAUUACUGGGCGUAAAGGGCUCGUAGGUGGCCAACUAAGUCGGACGUGAAAUCCCUCGGCUUAACCGGGGAACUGCGUCCGAUACUGGAUGGCUUGAGUUCGGGAGAGGGAUGCGGAAUUCCAGGUGUAGCGGUGAAAUGCGUAGAUAUCUGGAGGAACACCGGUGGCGAAGGCGGCAUCCUGGACCAACACUGACGCUGAGUGAGCGAAAGCCAGGGGAGCAAACGGG
rnacentral:rRNA from 1 species